AGAGUUUGAUCAUGGCUCAGAACGAACGCUGGCGGCGUGUUUAAGACAUGCAAGUCGCACGGGGAACUCAUGAAGCUUGCUUUGAGAGUUCCUAGUGGCGCACGGGUGAGUAACACGUGAGUUACAUGCCCUGCAGUGGGGAAUAGCCCGCCGAAAGGCGGAUUAAUACCCCAUGGUCCCGCAAGGGUAAAGGUGGCUUCGGCUGCCGCUGCAGGAUUGGCUCGCGUCCUAUCAGUUUGUUGGUGAGGUAACGGCUUACCAAGACUACGACGGGUAGCUGGUCUGAGAGGACGAUCAGUCACACUGGAACUGAGACACGGUCCAGACACCUACGGGUGGCAGCAGUCGAGAAUAAUUCACAAUGGACGAAAGUCUGAUGGUGCAACGCCGCGUGGAGGAUGACGGUCUUCGGAUUGUAAACUCCUGUCAUCGGGGAGUAAGACCUGGCGGUUAACAGCCGACAGGGUUGAUAGUACCCGAAGAGGAAGGGACGGCUAACUUCGUGCCAGCAGCCGCGGUAAUACGAAGGUCCCGAGCGUUGUUCGGAAUCACUGGGCGUAAAGGGAGCGUAGGCGGUUUGGUAAGUCAGAUGUGAAAUCUCGGGGCUCAACCCCGAAACUGCAUCCGAUACUGCCGAACUUGAGUAAUGGAGGGGUAGCUGGAAUUCUCGGUGUAGCAGUGAAAUGCGUGGAUAUCGAGAGGAACACUCGUGGCGAAGGCGAGCUACUGGACAUUUACUGACGCUGAGGCUCGAAGGCCAGGGUAGCGAAAGGGAUUAGAUACCCCUGUAGUCCUGGCAGUAA
rnacentral:rRNA from 1 species